AGAGGGACAUAUAAGGAGAAACUGCCCGGAAAGGAGAGAGGGUGUGGCAGAGGAAUGCCUGGACUUUGUCCUCGAUGUCAUAAAGGAAAUCAUUGGAGUAGUGAGUGCAGGUCAAAAUUUGACAUCCAGGGUAACCCAAUACCGUCGGGAAAUGGGAGCAGGGGCCCUCCCCGGGCCCCGGAAGACAACGUGUACGGGGCAGUGCAGGAACGAAACAGUGCCCCGGGGAGUGGGCGUCUCUGCCGCCUCCCCCUGACCAACCCCUUUCUAUCUGGGAACUCCCCAGGGGAACACCAGGAAGCGCAGGACUGGACCUCAGUUCCACCUCCCAAGCGGUAUUAACUCCCCAAAUUGGACCCCAGACGCUGCCUACUGGGGUUUUUGGACCCCUGCCAGAGGGGACGGUGGGACCAGUGUUGGGACGAGGUAGCGCACCUCAGUGGGGCUUGAAGAUUCUUACGGGGGUUGUUGAUGCUGAUUAUCAGGGAGAGAUAAAAAUAGUAGUAGAAGCUACCCAAGGAAUUGUUAUUCUUCCCCCCAGGGAGAGUAUAGCUCAGUUGCUGCUGCUACCCUUAGCUUUCAUUCUUGGGCGCACCCUCCGUGGGACCCGGGGCGAUGGCAGCUUUGGCUCCACUGGAACUCCCCAGGCCUUUUGGGUAGCUCAUUUGGAUUUGCGUCCCAACCUGACCAUUGAGAUACAGGACAAGGCUUUCAAGGGAAUACUAGAUACGGGGGAAGAUGUCUCUGUCAUUUCUGAAAAACAAUGGCCACCUGCCUGGCCCCUCCAGAUUCCCUCGGCCAUAUUACAGGGUAUAGGACAAACCCGACCAAAAAGAAGUGCCUCCUUUUUAAAAUGGAGAGAUGGUGAAGGACAUAGUGGCCAUUUCCAGCCUUAUGUAGUGACUGGACUCCCCACGAACCUUAGGGGGAGGGACUUGCUUCAUCAAAUGGGGGCUAUUCUCACUACCCAGACUUUGAAAGGAAAUAAUGACUUUGUUAAUGAUACAAUGCUAGACAUGGGAUGGAUCCCCAGAAGGGGACUAGGAAAGAGACAUGAGGGCAGAAUAUCACCCGUGGAUCGAGCGGAACAGGUUACCCGGCAGGGAAGAGACCUGAGAGGACUGGGAAAUGUAUCCUAGGGGCCACUGAAGUGCGGCCGCCUCCACUGUCCAUUACUUGGUUAUCAGAUGACCCUGUGUGGGUAGAACAGUGGCCCCUAACUAAGGACAAAUUACAGGCCGCUUCCCUAUUAGUUCAAGACCAGCUUAAGUUAGGACAUGUGGUGCCCUCUACCUCCCCUUGGAAUACCCCUAUUUUUGUUAUACAAAAGGGGUCUGGGAAGUGGAGGCUUCUUCAGGACCUAUGGGCUAUUAAUAAAACUAUGCAACCCAUGGGACCCUUACAGCCAGGGCUACCCUUUCCUACUGCAAUCCCAAAAGAUUGGCACCUUAUUGUCAUAGAUUUAAAAGAUUGUUUCUUCUCUAUCCCCUUAGACCCAAGAGACCAAAAGCGUUUCGCUUUUUCCUUGCCUUCAACAAACUUUAGGGAACCUUACCAAUGGUAUGAAUGGACCGUCCUACCUCAAGGGAUGACUAAUAGUCCUACAAUGUGCCAAUAUUUUAUAGCUGAGGUCUUACGACCCUUUCGACAGCAGUUCCCACAGCUCUGCCUCAUUCAUUAUAUGGAUGACAUCUUACUGGCAGGGCCCAAGAAAGAAAGGCUUCUUCAAUCUUAUGAAGUCCUCCAAUCCCUUCUAAAAGGGGCAGGGCUGGUCAUAGUGCCCGAAAAGGUCCAGUUUCAACACCCUUACAAU
rnacentral:lncRNA from 1 species